AUGACCAUAUCACAUUGAAACCCUGGCUCACAUAUGAUCACCAAAGUUAAGCAGUAUCAAGCCUGGUCAGUAUGAAGAUGGGUGACCACUUGGGAAUACCAGGUGCUGUAAG